rnacentral:rRNA from 1 species
CAUGCAGGCGGUCUGUUAAGCAAGAUGUGAAAGCCCGGGGCUUAACCUCGGAACAGCAUUUUGAACUGGCAGGCUAGAGUCUUGUAGAGGGGGUAGAAUUUCAGGUGUAGCGGUGAAAUGCGUAGAGAUCUGAAGGAAUACCGGUGGCGAAGGCGGCCCCCUGGACAAAGACUGACGCUCAGAUGCGAAAGCGUGGGGAGCAAACA